AGUGAACGCUGGCGGUAGGCCUAACACAUGCAAGUCGAACGGCAGCACAAGAGAGCUUGCUCUCUGGGUGGCGAGUGGCGGACGGGUGAGGAAUACAUCGGAAUCUACUCUGUCGUGGGGGAUAACGCAGGGAAACUUACGCUAAUACCGCAUACGACCUACGGGUGAAAGCAGGGGAUCUUCGGACCUUGCGCGAUUGAAUGAGCUGAUGUCGGAUUAGCUAGUGGACGGGGUGAAGGCCCACCAAGGCGACGAUCCGUAGCUGGUCUGAGAGGAUGAUCAGUCACACUGGAACUGAGACACGGUCCAGACUCCUACGGGAGGCAGCAGUGGGGAAUAUUGGACAAUGUGCGCAAGCCUGAUCCAGCCAUACCGCGUGGGUGAAGAAGGCCUUCGGGUUGUAAAGCCCUUUUGUUGGGAAAGAAAUCCAGCUGGCUAAUACCCGGUUGGGAUGACGGUACCCAAAGAAUAAGCACCGGCUAACUUCGUGCCAGCCGCCGCCGUAA
rnacentral:rRNA from 1 species